CCCCCUUCUUACCUUUAUCCUGUGAGGGGGGAAGGAGAUCCGUUCUGCCUGGGGGGGGAGGAGAUCUGUUCUGCCAUCGUUCCCUGGUGGUCCAGUGGUGAGAGUGAACUCUAACCUGCAGGCUAGAGUUCACUCUUGCGAGAUCUGAGCGUUGCCGUGGUAACCACGGCAAUGCUCAGAAUCCCGCAAGAGGACCCGGCGGAGCUGCUUGUUAGAGCUCCGCCGGUCCUCUCUCCUGCCUCCCUCCCCAGCCGGCGGCCGCAUCUCCAUGCCUGUGGGCUGGUGAGGGAGAUCUUUGAUCUCCCCACCGGCCUAUGGAUGCACACAGCAGGGCUGGCGCUCGGGUAGCGCUGGCCCUGCAGGGGCUGACAGGGGAGAGUCUGUGAUCUCCCCUGCCGGCCUCAGCCCAUGGCCAUCGCGGCCCACAGGGCAUUUGCCCGGUAUGCCCGAUGGCCAGUCCGGGCCUGGUGCUACCUCACAAAUAAAUACAAACUUCCCAAAUACAUUUAAUAAAGUUUUUAAAUUUCCCUGUUAUUCUUUCAUGCUUUUGGUCCAGUUAGGCUUGCCAGAGCCACCAUGUUCUCUUGGACAAAUGACUUCUUUGUGCUAAUGUGCUUGCAUGCAAACAUGUCAGGACCAUCUACUUUAGGCAAGAAAUCCUUUAUUCAAAAGGGGUCCUAAGGAAAGUUUUCUCUACUUUUUCUCAACCAUUUUCCUCCAUCCUUGCAGCAUAUUAAAUGUCACCACUUAUGUUGUCCAUCAGCACAAAGUAGCAAUAUGGCACGUGUGAAAACAUGUUGGAUGUGGCAGUCCUAGAUCCAACUCUGAUAAAAGUUAAAUAUAAAAAAGUUAUAUAUUUUUUCAUUUAAAGUGGAUCUGAGGCAAAAAUGUUUACAUUAAUCAGAACUCCUCUAUACACAGUGUUUCAUUUUGCAGUUGUGGUUUUGUUUUUUUACAUUGUCUUGGAUCUCAUUAUUUGUGUCAUUAACGACCCUUCCAUUUUUUUUUUCUACUUGCGUCAGUCAUGAAAUGUUACAAUGAGUAAAAAUACACAAUACACAUGAGCAGUCAGUCAGGAAGAUGAGGCCAUAUGCAUUAUGGGAAUUUUAAAGUGUUCUAAAUACAAGAGAGAGGCUAAAUGAAGUUGAAAUCUAAUUUUUAAAACUCUACUUUAAACAAAGGGUUUUAUG